rnacentral:lncRNA from 8 species
CCUAUACUGAGUCUGUUCUGUAACAUUACAAAUGUCAAAGUAGAUUGUGAAACUUAGCCUAAACAAAAUGAAUAGGCUCAGCACAAGCAAGCUGAUGAUAUAGCUUUAUGGUCACACGGAAGUUACAAGCAAUGAGAAUAAGUGUCAGGUUACAGUGAAAUAUCCCAUCAUGUAGGCUAUAUCCAGGCCAACCACAUUGCAGAGUGAUUGAGAUGGUACAAAGUGUGCUGCAUAUGCGCUAUAGAGAAGCUAAAUUGUUCUUACCAUCUCUCUUUUCCUUUAGGAGACUCACACCGUCUGUAUGAACAGAAGCUUGAGGAGGUCUCCACGCUACAAGACAGCUGCUCCAAUGCCAUAGCACGACAGAGGAAGACAUUUAAAAAGCUCACAGUGUCUGGGAGAGUGUGUAGCAAACACAGUUGAUGUAUUCUGACAUGGAACCUCACCUUUUUCAAUGUUAUUUAGUAAUAACAGUGUAAUAGACUUCACUGUUGUCAUAAUUCUGGUUAUUCUGUUGGUCAGCUUUGUACUUAUUGCUAAAUCACAGUAAUCUUUUCCUCUUUAGAUGCAAAGAAACAAUGAGUUCAGAAGAAAGUAAUGUGCUAGAUGGGAUCCAGGAAUCUAUCAAGGACAGUUCAGCUUGGUUAUACCUCAGUCUCGUGCUUGGGAAUGUGAAUGUAACAAUGCUCAACAAACACUCCAAGUAAGCUCUUUUCAGUCUUUUAACAAAUGUAUUGCAAUAUAAUAAUAAUAAUAUCAUGACAUGACAACGAGAACUCAUACUCUGUGUGAGCUUCUUGGUGAACAUAACAGAUUCUUUCUCUCUUCUCUCGCCACCAGAUUUACCUAAAGAUGAAUAUGAGAAAUUCUGAUUGGUCCUCACUGUCCUACUCCUCUUCUUCUCAUUCACAUGUUGCUUUGUAUUUAGUUACAAGUGAGUAACCUCACAUAUGUAGAGCCUGACCGAUACUGUAUAUGUUUUUUGGGGUCCGAUACAGAUUUUAUUUUUU